ACCCAGUCUGUGAUGCCCUUAGAUGUUCUGGCCGCACGCGCGCUACACUGAUGAAGUCAACGAGUUUAUAACCUUGGCCGGAAGGUCUGGGUAAUCUUUUGAAACUUCAUCGUGCUGGGGAUAGUCCAUUGCAAUUAUUGGACUUCAACGAGGAAUUCCUUAGUAAGCGCGAGUCAUCAGCUCGCGUUGAUUACGUCCCUGCCCUUUGUACACACCGCCCGUCGCUACUACCGAUUGAAUGGCUUAGUGAGACCUUCGGAUUGGAGGUAGGUUGCUGGCAACAGCAACCAGCUUCCGAGAAGUUGGUCAAACUUGGUCAUUUAGAGGAAGUAAAAGUCGUAACAAGGUUUCCGUAGGUGAACCUGCGGAAGGAUCAUUAUAAAAAAUUCGGGCUUGGGUUUAACCCAAGACCUGCCCCCAAAAGGGACCUUUUGUGCACUGUAAAAUUUUUUCACUUAAGCUUUGUCUGAUUGAUAUUUGUACCGAAAGGGACAAGAAUUUUAAUCUAAAACAACUUUUAACAAUGGAUCUCUUGGCUCUCGCAUCGAUGAAGAACGCAGCGAAAUGCGAUAAGUAAUGUGAAUUGCAGAAUUCAGUGAAUCAUCGAAUCUUUGAACGCAUAUUGCGCUCUCCGGCAUUCCGGAGAGCAUGCCUGUUUGAGUAUUGGCCUAAAUGAGAGUCUUCCUUUAAAGAUAUAAAAAAGAACGUCAAGAACCCUCAGUUGAGACUUCUCGACAAUUCAUUGCCGAGUGUUUUAAAAUGCAAUAGUACCGCCACGUUUGCGAACUUGGAGUAAUAUGUGAGCCUGAAAAGGUGACCUCUAUUCUCCUCGGACCAUGUAGACUUGUUAAGCGGGAAGUUUUUGAAUGCCGAAUUAUGGGAGACGGUGUUCAAUUGUUCGAGUAACGACGAACGAAAUAAACUCAAUCUCAAAUCAGGUAGGAUUACCCGCUGAACUUAAGCAUAUCAAUAAGCGGAGGAA
rnacentral:rRNA from 1 species